UACGUAGGGGGCAAGCGUUGUCCGGAUUUACUGGGCGUAAAGAGCGUGUAGGCGCCAGACCGGUCCGUUGUGAAAACUGGAGGCUCAACCUUCAGACGUCGACGGAAACCGUCUGGCUAGAGUCCGGAAGAGGAGAGUGGAAUUCCUGGUGUAGCGGUGAAAUGCGCAGAUAUCAGGAAGAACACCGAUGGCGAAGGCAGCUCUCUGGGACGGUACUGACGCUGAGACGCGAAAGCGUGGGUAGCAAACAGG
rnacentral:rRNA from 1 species